rnacentral:rRNA from 1 species
GAUGAACGCUGGCGGUAUGCUUUACACAUGCAAGUCAUACGGAAGUUAGUUUCGGCUAGCUUCAGUGGCGGACGGGUGAGUAACACGUGAGAAUUCGCCUUUAGGAGGGGGAUAACAGGGGGAAACACCUGCUAAAACCCCAUAUGCCUUAGGGUCACAAGAGAAAUCUCCCUAAAGAGAAGCUCGCGGCUGAUUAGCUAGUAGGUAGGGUAAAGGCCUACCAAGGCGACGAUCCGUAGCUGGUCUGAGAAGAUGAUCAGCCACACUGGAACUAGCACACGGUCCAGACUCCUACGGGAGGCAGCCGUGAGGGACUUUCUGCAAUGGGCUAAAGCCUGACAGAGCAAUACCGCGUGAGGGAAGAAGGCUUACUGAGUUGUAAACCUCUGUUACCUAAGGAGGAAGAUCUGACGUUACUUAGGAGACGAAGCAUCGGCUACCUCCGUGCCAGCCGCCGCAGUAAAAC